UCGUCGCUCCCCGCUCAACUAUCCCUCCCUAUUCGAUCGAUAUAGCAUCUAGAACCCUUUUCUCCUUGUUGCAAAACCAAAAUCGUUGGUACUACUAGAUAUACAUUCGUAAGCACGAGAGAUCCGAUCCCACAGCGUGGUGCUGAUAGAGGUUUUAGAUGGCGGGACCUACUACUCUUCCUUUUUCUGCCGUCAUCUUCUAUGAAUCAUUCCACCAUCACCACCACUAGCAACAAAGAAACGGAGUUCAAAGCACAUUCAAAGACCAUCUUUUAGUGCUGGGGUUGAUCAAGAGGGUCCGUCAAAUGAUAAGGAUGCACUUGGAAGUGAAGUAAGUAGUGGUGACGAAGAAAUGGCGUUCAACGCACAUCUAAAUACCAUUAGUGUCAAACCAGACUCCCUACGCGAGGAGUGGACAGAAGAUAGGAAAGAACAGUAAGCAAUAGGACUUUUUUUUUAAUGGAAAAACAAUGAGAAUUUUUUUUUUUUUUUU
rnacentral:lncRNA from 1 species